AUGGAUUCAUUCGAACAAUCACACACUUUGCAAGAAUCCAAUCAUAAAAAAAACGCCGCAAAAUCGGCGACACCACCGCCGAUCAAAACUCCCCCACUCUCAUGCGGUGGAGAUCUGAAUCCGACCAGAACAACUACUCAAAAAAAAAUAAUCGAAGCUCUCAGCCGGAUCAACUCUCCAACAACCACCACCAAACCUAGAGCCGCUUCUCAAGUCCGCCACCCACCUUCUUCUAACUUCCGUCAACAUAACCCUCUAUUUCACUGGCUUCCCCUUUUGUUUUAUCAUUAG